GAUAACGUUGUUCCUGCAACAGAAAGCAAAAGUGGACAUACAAGGAAUCCCCGAAAAUUUCCGCUGAAGUCUGUCCAGGAACGCCUAGCAGGUUUGAUCAACUGUGCUGCAGUUAGAAAAGAGUGUUGAGAAGUUCACAGUUCCUGUCUACGCAAAUGAGGUAACAAUAAAGUGACGAAAGUCCCGGUACAUUUUGUUUUCCUGUGCCAAGAUCUGUUGAGCGGAAGCCAACAAUUUGACUGUUGUUUAGGUUUGGUAGGUUUACACCCAUCAAAGCAUGUUGACCGGACAGUUUCUACAGGCGGGGUGAUAUUAGGUUUUAUAUUAGACACAAUAUGAUUAUGUAAUCAUCUUUUGUUGUAGUAAUGAGGUUAAUGAAAUAAUGAAGGUAAAGAGAAGCUUGCUCCUUUGUUUUACAUGUUUUUUUUCCCUGAACUAAAAUAACGUUUUAUGUCCUGGGAGACAUGAAAGGCAACACCUCUGAUAAAUACCAAAGAGUACACAUACAGGUUCUGCAUCUUUCAAAUCUGUCUUCACAUCUCAUGAAGCGACACCAUGACAUUUUCUGAUUAAAUUUUUAAUUAAAAUACGAAUUUAUCCACAGAUUAAAAAUGAAAGGCAGAAAAAGCAAAAUGUAGCUACAAUCAGGCACCAAUGAUACAUGUUAUUUCAUAUUUUUAACAAUUGCGAUAACGCAACAAUUACAUUAUUUACUGAUCAUUAUUUAAUAUUUAUUUAUUCAACUGAAGACAGGCGGGGGCCAAAGCAGCCCACCAAAGACAUUCAUGGAUUCUCCAUUAUAGAUAACUGAGUACUGAUCCUACCCCCCCACCCCCCCCACCACACCCCACUUGAUACUCCUCUCACUACCUCACAAGAACUGAAGAUUUAAAAUAAAAUAAAAAAAAUUGCAAAUGUCCACAGGAAAAAGCAACACUAAUUCAGUCAGAAAUCAAGAGUAAGAAGAGAGUGGUAUUUAAUAUCAGACAAGCUAGCUGUUUGGGUGGAAGUUGGGAGUGAUUAACCGCACACACAAGUACUUUUUUUUUUUUAUAUAACC